rnacentral:rRNA from 1 species
UACGUAGGUGGCGAGCGUUAUCCGGAUUUACUGGGUGUAAAGGGCGCGUAGGCGGGGAUGCAAGUCAGAUGUGAAAUCUAUGGGCUCAACCCAUAAGCUGCAUUUGAAACUGUAUUUCUUGAGUGCUGGAAAGGUAGACGGAAUUCCUUUUGUAGCGGUGAAAUGCGUAGAUAUAAGGAAGAACACCAGUGGCGAAGGCGGUCUACUGGACAGUAACCGACGCUGAGGCGCGAAAGCGUGGGGAGCAAAC